rnacentral:rRNA from 1 species
UACAUGGGGUGCAAACGUUGCUCGGAAUUAUUGGGCGUAAAGCGCACGUAGGCGGUUUGUUAAGUCGGAUGUGAAAUCCCUCGGCUCAACUGAGGAAGUGCAUCCGAAACUGGCAGGCUUGAGUACUAAAGAGGGUCGCGGAAUUCCCGGUGUAGAGGUGAAAUUCGUAGAUAUCGGGGAAGGAACACCUGGUGGCGAAGGCGGCCACCUGGACAACAAC